rnacentral:rRNA from 1 species
UGGGGCUAAUACCCUAUAGGCACAGGUGGCUGGAAUGCCCCUGAGCUGAAAGCUCCGGCGCUUGAGGAUGAGUCUGCGACCUAUCAGGUUGUAGUCAGGGUAAUGGCCUGACUAGCCAGUGACGGGUACGGGGUGUGAGAGCACUCGCCCGGAGAUGGUUUCUGAGACACGAAACCAGGCCCUACGGGGCGCAGCAGGCGCGAAAACUUCGCAAUGCGGGAAACCGUGACGAGGGUAAUCCAAGUGCCCAUGCUUUGCAUGGGCUGUUUUUCAGCCUAAAUAGCUGUUAGAGUAAGAGGUGGGCAAGACCGGUGCCAGCCGCCGCGGUAACACCGGCAUCUCGAGUGGUAUCCACUUUUAUUGGGUCUAAAGCGUCCGUAGCUGGUUUAGUAAAUUCCUGGGUAAAUCGUACCGCUUAACGGUGCGGAUUCUGGGGACACUGCUAGACUUGGGACCGGGGGAGGUCGGAAGUACUUGUGGGGUAGCGGUGAAAUGUUGUAAUCCUACAGGGACUACCAGUGGCGAAGGCGUCCGACCAAAACGGCUCCGACAGUGAGGGACGAAACCCUGGGGCGCAAACGGGAUUAGAUACCCCGGUAGUCCAGGGCGUAAACGCUGCAGACUUG